rnacentral:rRNA from 1 species
UCGGGAAUUUUGGGCAAUGGGCGAAAGCCUGACCCAGCAACGCCGCGUGAAGGAUGAAGUAUUUCGGUAUGUAAACUUCGAAAGAAUGGGAAGAAUAAAUGACGGUACCAUUUAUAAGCUCCGGCUAACUACGUGCCAGCAGCCGCGGUAAUACGUAGGGAGCAAGCGUUGUUCGGAUUUACUGGGCGUAAAGGGCGCGUAGGCGGCAAUUCAAGUCAUCUGUGAAAUCUCCGGGCUUAACUCGGAACGGUCAGAUGAUACUGCUUUGCUAGAGUGCAGAAGGGGCAAUCGGAAUUCUUGGUGUAGCGGUGAAAUGCGUAGAUAUCAAGAGGAACACCUGAGGUGAAGACGGGUUGCUGGGCUGACACUGACGCUGAGGCGCGAAAGCCAGGGGAGCAAACGGGAUUAGAUACCCGAGUAGUCCCUGAGCGGGCUGGCAAGGCGCAU